rnacentral:rRNA from 1 species
UCCUGUUUGCUCCCCACGCUUUCGCACCUCAGUGUCAGUAUCAGUCCAGGUGGUCGCCUUCGCCACUGGUGUUCCUUCCUAUAUCUACGCAUUUCACCGCUACACAGGAAAUUCCACCACCCUCUACCGUACUCUAGCUCAGCAGUUUUGAAAGCAGUUCCCAGGUUGAGCCCGGGGAUUUCACUUCCAACUUACUGAACCACCUACGCGCGCUUUACGCCCAGUAAUUCCGAUUAACGCUUGCACCCUUCGUAUUACCGCGGCUGCUGGCACGAAGUUAGCCGGUGCUUAUUCUGUCGGUAACGUCAAAGUAGCAACGUAUUAGGCUACUACCCUUCCUCCCAACUUAAAGUGCUUUACAAUCCGAAGACCUUCUUCACACACGCGGCAUGGCUGGAUCAGGCUUUCGCCCAUUGUCCAAUAUUCCCCACUGCUGCCUCCCGUAGGAG